UACCAGCACCCCGAGUGGUCGGGACGAUUAUUGGGCCUAAAGCAUCCGUAGCCGGUCCUACAAGUCUUCCGUUAAAUCCACCUGCUCAACAGAUGGGCUGCGGAAGAUACUAUAGGGCUAGGAGGCGGGAGAGGCAAGCGGUACUCAGUGGGUAGGGGUAAAAUCCUCUGAUCCAUUGAAGACCACCGGUGGCGAAGGCGGCCAACUGGACGAAUACUGACGCUGAGAGACGAAAGCUAGGGGAGCGAAUGGG
rnacentral:rRNA from 1 species